rnacentral:rRNA from 1 species
AACGAACGCUGGCGGCAUGCCUAACACAUGCAGGUCGAACGAGACCUUCGGGUCUAGUGGCGCACGGGUGCGUAACGCGUGGGAACCUGCCCUUAGGUUCGGAAUAACUCCCCGAAAGGGGUGCUAAUACCGGAUAAUGUCUUCGGACCAAAGAUUUAUCGCCUUUGGAUGGGCCCGCGUUGGAUUAGCUAGUUGGUAGGGUAAAAGCCUACCAAGGCGACGAUCCUUAGCUGGUCUGAGAGGAUGAUCAGCCACACUGGGACUGAGACACGGCCCAGACUCCUACGGGAGGCAGCAGUGGGGAAUAUUGGACAAUGGGCGAAAGCCUGAUCCAGCAAUGCCGCGUGAGUGAUGAAGGCCUUAGGGUUGUAAAGCUCUUUUACCCGGGAUGAUAAUGACAGUACCGGGAGAAUAAGCUCCGGCUAACUCCGUG